AUGGAGGACCGAACCAGGAAACGUUGAAAAGUUUUUGGAUGAACUGUGGGUAGGGGUGAAAGGCCAAUCAAACUGGGAAAUAGCUCGUACUCCCCGAAAUGCAUUUAGGUGCAGCGUCGGUUAUGAGUCUUAUAGAGGUAGAGCUACUGAUUGGAUGCGAGGGCUUCACCGCCUAUCAAAUCCAGACAAACUCCGAAUGCUAUAAGAUGCUUACCGGCAGUGAGGGCAUGGGUGCUAAGGUCCAUGUCCGAGAGGGAAAGAACCCAGACCAUCAGCUAAGGUCCCCAAGUGUAUAUUAAGUUGAACAAACGAGGUCCGAUUGCAUAGACAGCUAGGAUGUUGGCUUGGAAGCAGCCAUUCAUUUAAAGAGUGCGUAACAGCUCACUAGUCGAGCGAUUGGGCGUGGAUAAUAAUCGGGCAUUAAAUAUACCACCGAAGCUAUGGAUUUAUGGUAGGGGAGCAUUCCAGUCUGCGCUGAAGCGGAUUCGUGAGGGUCCGUGGAGCGUCUGGAAAAGCAAAUGUAGGCAUAAGUAACGAUAAAGCAGGUGAGAAACCUGCUCGCCGAUAGACUAAGGUUUCCUGAUCAACGCUAAUCGGAUCAGGGUUAGUCGGGGCCUAAGGCGUACCCGAAGGGGGAAGUCGAUGGACAAUUGGUUAAUAUUCCAAUACCCUUUGAUACUGCGAUGGGGUGACGAAGUAAUGAAAGGACCGCGUACUGACGGAAUAGUACGUUAAAAGAUGUAGGUUAUGAGAGGCAUAGGCAAAUCCGUGCUUUGAGCUGAACUCUGACAGUACCGUGAGCCUUCGGGCAAACGGAUAGUGUCCCUAAGCGCUUCCAAGAAAAACCUCUAAGCUUCAGGUAUCAAAGGCCCGUACCGCAAACCGACACAGGUAGUCAAGGAGAGAAUCCUGAGGCGCUCGAGUGAUUCAUGGCUAAGGAACUAGGCAAAAUCGCCCCGUAACUUCGGGAGAAGGGGCGCUCUACUCCGGUAGAGCCGCAGUGAAAAGGCGCAUGCGACUGUUUAUCAAAAACACAUGGCUAUGCUAAAUUGAAAGAUGAUGUAUAUGGCCUGACACCUGCCCGGUGCCGGAAGGUUAAGAGGGGAUGUUAUCUUCGGAGAAGCAUUGAAUCGAAGCCCCGGUAAACGGCGGCCGUAACUAUAACGGUCCUAAGGUAGCGAAAUUCCUUGUCGGGUAAGUUCCGACCUGCACGAAUGGUGUAACGAUGUGCGCACUGUCUCGGCCAUGAGCUCGGUGAAAUUGUAGUCUCGGUGAAGAUGCCGAGUACCCGCAACGGGACGGAAAGACCCCGUGAACCUUUACUGCAACUUCACAUUGAUUCUGGGUAAGUGAUGUGUAGGAUAGGACGGAGACUAUGAAGCGGGUUCGCCAGGAUUCGUGGAGUCAUCCUUGAAAUACGUCCCUUUGCUUACUUGGAACCUAACUCCUCCGGGAGGACAGUGUGUGGUGGGUAGUUUGACUGGGGUGGUCGCCUCCAAAAGAGUAACGGAGGCUUCUAAAGGUGC
rnacentral:rRNA from 1 species